GACGAACGCUGGCGGCGUGCUUAACACAUGCAAGUCGAACGAGAGCGUAGAGAUAGCUUGCUUUUUCUACAAUCUACUGGCAAACGGUUCAUUAACGCGUAACCAACCUUCCCUACUGACGUCGACAACAGCUGGCUACUGCUGCUUAUACCGAAUACGUUCCGAAAGUCGCAUGUCUAACGUCACACAGGAUGGCCUCUAUUUAUCAGCUAUCGCCGGAGGAGGGGUUUGCGUCUGAUUAGCUAGGUGGCGGGGUAACGGCCCACCAAGGCGACGAUCAGGAGACGGGCUGGGAGGAUGAACGACUAAAAUGGAACUGGGACACGGUCCAGACCCCUACGGGAGGCAGCAGGGGGGAAUCAUCCGCAAUGGGGGAAAGCCUGACGGAGCAACGCCGGGUGAUGGAAGACAGCUUUCGGGAUGUAAAGGUAUGUUAUACGGGACGAAUAAGCUGGUAGUUAAUACCUAGGAGAAGUGACGGUACCGUAAGAGAAAGCAACGGCUAACUACGUG
rnacentral:rRNA from 1 species